GGAGGGCCGCUUCUAUACAUGCAGUCGAGCGGACAGAAGGGAGCUUGCUCCCGGAUGUUAGCGGCGGACGGGUGAGUAACACGUGGGUAACCUGCCUGUAAGACUGGGAUAACUCCGGGAAACCGGAGCUAAUACCGGAUAGUUCCUUGAACCGCAUGGUUCAAGGAUGAAAGACGGUUUCGGCUGUCACUUACAGAUGGACCCGCGGCGCAUUAGCUAGUUGGUGAGGUAACGGCUCACCAAGGCGACGAUGCGUAGCCGACCUGAGAGGGUGAUCGGCCACACUGGGACUGAGACACGGCCCAGACUCCUACGGGAGGCAGCAGUAGGGAAUCUUCCGCAAUGGACGAAAGUCUGACGGAGCAACGCCGCGUGAGUGAUGAAGGUUUUCGGAUCGUAAAGCUCUGUUGUUAGGGAAGAACAAGUGCAAGAGUAACUGCUUGCACCUUGACGGUACCUAACCAGAAAGCCACGGCUAACUACGUGCCAGCAGCCGCGGUAAUACGUAGGUGGCAAGCGUUGUCCGGAAUUAUUGGGCGUAAAGGGCUCGCAGGCGGUUUCUUAAGUCUGAUGUGAAAGCCCCCGGCUCAACCGGGGAGGGUCAUUGGAAACUGGGAAACUUGAGUGCAGAAGAGGAGAGUGGAAUUCCACGUGUAGCGGUGAAAUGCGUAGAGAUGUGGAGGAACACCAGUGGCGAAGGCGACUCUCUGGUCUGUAACUGACGCUGAGGAGCGAAAGCGUGGGGAGCGAACAGGAUUAGAUACCCUGGUAGUCCACGCCGUAAACGAUGAGUGCUAAGU
rnacentral:rRNA from 1 species